rnacentral:rRNA from 1 species
GGAUAAUCUACCCUUAGGACUGGGAUAACCCUGGGAAACUGGGGCUAAUACCGGAUAGGCAAUUUUUCCUGCAAUGGUUUUUUGUUUAAAUGUUUUUUCGCCUAAGGAUGAGUCUGCGGCCGAUUAGGUAGUUGGUUAGGUAAUGGCUUACCAAGCCGGUGAUCGGUACGGGUUGUGAGAGCAAGAGCCCGGAGAUGGAACCUGAGACAAGGUUCCAGGCCCUACGGGGUGCAGCAGGCGCGAAACCUCCGCAAUAUAAAAAAUCACAACAAAAAAAUCCCAAGUGCCAUUCUUAACGGAAUGGCUUUUCAUUAGUGUAAAGAGCUUUUGGAAUAAGAGCUGGGCAAGACCGGUGCCAGCCGCCGCGGUAACACCGGCAGCUCUAGUGGUAACAAUUUUUAUUGGGCCUAAAGCGUCCGUAGCCGGUUUAAUAAGUCUCUGGUGAAAUCCUGUAGCUUAACUGUGGGAAUUGCUGGAGAUACUAUUAGACUUGAGACCGGGAGAGGUUAGAGGUACUCCCAGGGUAGAGGUGAAAUUCUGUAAUCCUGGGAGGACCGCCUGUUGCGAAGGCGUCUAACUGGAACGGUUCUGACGGUGAGGGACGAAAGUUAGGGGCGCGAACCGGAUUAGAUACCCGGGUAGUCCUAACUGUAAACGAUGCGGACUUGGUGUUGGGGUGGCUUUGAGCUGCUCCAGUGC